CCUACGGGUGGCAGCAGUGAGGAAUAGUGGUCAAUGGGCGCGAGCCUGAACCAGCCAAGUAGCGUGAAGGAUGACUGCCCUACGGGUUGUAAACUUCUUUUAUAAAGGAAUAAAGUGAGGCACGUGUGCCUGGUUGGAUGUACGUUAUGAAUAAGGAUCGGCUAACUCCGUGCCAGCAGCCGCGGUAAUACGGAGGUUCCGAGCGUUCUCCGGAUUUAUUGGGGUUACAGGGAGCGUAGAUGGGUUGUUAAGUCAGUUGGGAAAGUUUGCGGCUCAACCGUAAAAUUGCACUUGAUACUGGCAGCCUUGAGUACAGUUGAGGUCGGCGGACUUCGUGGUGUAGCGG
rnacentral:rRNA from 1 species